rnacentral:pre_miRNA from 1 species
CAACUACUCCCUCCGUCCCAAAUUUCUUGUCUUAGAUUUGUCUAGAUACGAAUGUAUCUAAUACUAAAAUGUGACUUGAUACAUCUGUAUCUAGACAAAUCUGAGACAAGAAUUUUGGGACAGAGGGAGUACUUU